GGAUUUCCUAAAAUACGGGAAAAUUUCUGCUGUGGCCCACUGAAUAGGUUUAAUAUACUCUACGCCUUCCUCAGUAUUGGCACAUACUUAUAACCACAACACUGAGGAGGCAGAAAUAAGAAGAUCCCUGGAGCCUCACUGUCUAGCUGCCCAGCAUACUAGGCAAGUUCAAGCCAGUGAAAGACCCUAUCUCAACAAAGGAUCCAACCCAAGAUACAUUUAGUUGUCAUGUUACCUUAGUGUCUUGAAGUUUCCCAGUGCUUUCUUGUAUUUCAUGACAUCAAGCCUUCUGAAGUAAGAAAAAAACAGGCACAAGCACCACCUGCACCAAUUGGAAGAAGAGCAGCCUCCUUGUGAACAGCCCUCUGCAGCAACAUCAGCAGAUCCUAUAGGACAAAUGUCACCCCCAACAGCUGGGAAAACAGGUAUAGGGAAAAACUACACCAGUUGGAAAAACAGACCCUAUAGGCACAAGUAAAGCCCACUCCAGCCAGAAGAACUGGACGAUACCCUGGAUCUAGGGAUAUAAGCCCAUAUAAAUCUCAGCUGACCUGACAACCAGCUAAUCAGCAGAACCCUUGGCCAUUCAGGCCAAAAGAUAAUAAAGGAACAAAAGACCCAUCCAACAAAAAAUUACAAGAAUCAAAACCUGAACCUAUAAUUAUCACAAACCCAGAUGGGUAAACAGCAGUGUAAGAAUACAUUCAACAGCAUAAAGAACAAUAUGGC